rnacentral:lncRNA from 1 species
AUUCCAGUUUGAUGAAAAGCUGUAUUUGGCCACUGGGCACAGUGCUCAAAGACGGCAUGCAUAUAUAAAUUUACAUGUUGCUCUGUCGCCAAUAAUUGUGCCUAUAUAAGGCAUUUCGACGGAUAUGUCAUGGGUGUUCGCAGAACCAUAGCUGCGGUGGGAUUGCCGCCAUGACCCUCUUAAAAACCUCCUAAGUCGGCGCCAUACUUGAGACAAGAUUGUGGACGCAUACACAGUUGGCGACUCAAGGAAACGUACGCGCCACGCUCACGCACGUCACCUGAGUGGUACAAAAGCACUUCUUCCUGAAAAAAGUAAUAACAUGCCUAGUUUCGAAUAAAGCAUGUGGCGUAAUCAAUAAACGGAAGGGGAAGCACAAAAAAA